AGGGUGAGAGGGGCUCUGAGGGCUCAGGGAAUCUGGCUCCUGUGGGGGCUCAGGGGGUCUGGCAGCUGGGAGAAGACUGUGGGAGCUCGAGGGUCUGUGAGGGAAGUGUGAGGGCUGUGGAGGCAGAGGGGGACCCUGGGCUGCUGUGAGGGGCUGUGAGGGCUUAGGGCUGCUCUGAGCCGUGCAGUGGCAGCUCUGUAGAAGCCUUUGUGAUGUGAGGGGAAGGCCCCAGUGAGGGGCUCCUGUCCGUGAGGGGAUCUGAGGUAGACGUUGCUUACCAGGGCUUCCCCACAUGGACACCUCCAUCCUGGGCUGUGUGUGGGUACUACAGCCCCGUCAUGAGGCAGCCAGACACCUCAUGUUGGUUAAAUACCACCCUUGCCUUUCCUUGUCCCUUAUUCUACCUCCCAGCUUUGUGAGCACAUUCUUGCCCAGACAGUGCAUCUAUUGGUCACAGUUUUAUUAAGCAUAUUUGAUUAUUGUUUCAGCAGAAUCUUUUUAUGGUUGUGUGUAUUCAUUGUGAUGCCGGCUGGAUCUACAAGUCCCAGCAUCUCUUCUUGUUUCAUACUGUAGGAAAGACUUGAAAGAGGCUCCUAAUGGAGCUCCCAAGGCAGGGAGUCUCAUCCUGCUGCCUUGCCGUGGGGUGGGCUGAGGCAAAUGCAGCCAUGACCUCAAUUCUGCUGACACAGGCCAGCUCUGUGUGACACACAAACGGCUUGUACACAGCCCGGAAUCUGUGCCUGGAUAACAAUAAUCCAAUCCUGUGCCUGGGUCAGUGUUCUCUGCGUGUGAGUACAGAGCUGAUCCCUCCCAGGCAGACAGCGACUGUCGUUCCUCUCUUGGUGCUUAACCAGCGAGAUUGCAGCCUGUGUCUGUGAAACAGGAUCCAGUCUGAACUGAGCCUCUACCUGGGGCUGGCAGGAGCCAGAAAUCACAGAAUUCGUUCUGUUUCUCUAGAAAGUAUUGCUCCUGUGAAAUUGAAGCUAUGGAGGUGAGAGGCUGCUUCCAGAAACCAGUGAGUGAGCGAUGCAGUUGUGGGAUUCCUGCCUGAGGGAAAUCAGAACAGCUGAAUGGGAUCCAGCCACAGGUCCACCCAAGCCAAUGCCUAAUGCUCUGCAGCAGUUACCAAAGAGGAACAGGGCAGACAGAUAUGGAUGUGGCAGGUGGUUCGGGCAAUCCUUCAGCCACAAGCAACAUUCUGUUUAAUAGUCCAAAUGGGUUAUUACGAAUUUAUCUAAUCACUUUUUGCAGCCAUGUAAACUUUUGCCAUAAACAGCCUGAUAAGUGGUUUAACCAUGAUCUGUGUGGAAGAAGAGCUCCUUCCAUUUGGUUUGAUGAUUUCCACUGAAUAACUCCAUUCACAAAGCCAUGAGUGUGUCCCUUCAGAGCUUUCACUCCAGGACUGUUUAACAUUUUCCAUGAUACUGUGAGACAAAGUAAUGCUACACCAGCUUUUACUUUAUGUAAUGUUCAGCAUUACUUGGCCAUUUACAUCUCUUUCAUCUUUAAAACCUGUGAACUUUGAACAUUGUUCCCAUGAAGGUUCCGCAGCUCUGCUGUUCCUUGUCCAGUGAUAAGCCUGGUAGCUGUUGCCUUCUUCCACGUGGAGGAUCUGUUUCUCCUGAGACUUUCCACCAAGUGCUGACUAAUUUGGUCAUGAGGUGCACAUAUGGUGACACCCCUGCUGUGAACAAAAAUAAGCUUUCCUUCACACAGAAGCUGAUUUUAUCAUUCCUCUGUCUCUCUCAAACCUCCUUUUCAUUCCCAGGGCACUCCUCUUCCUGGCAGGGAUUAUUCUUUCUCCCUCUUGUUUCCAAAAGAGCCUUCAUCCAUCCUCCCUGCUAGUGCCUGUCUCCCUGCAUAGAGGACCUCUUCCAAUGCCAUGGCUUCUUCAAUCCCUGGUCAGAGCAGCUUUCACAUCCCACACAGAGAGCUUCCAUACCACAGUGUCUUUCCCCUGCUUCCCAGAGAAGCCUCCUCGCUAAUUGGUGUCAUUUGUGGUGGGAGAAGCUGCUGGCUGUGUCAGAGAUUUCCUGAGGCUUUCCCGGGGAGCUCUGCCAGCCUCCCUCUCGUGACUGAUCCCUGGCAUUGCACACUACUCGGGGAGCAGCAGUUCCUGUUCUGUGUUUGUCGGGCUUCAACAGGGAUCUGACAGCACCUGCCUGCAGGAGGGCUCUGAGUAUCUCACAUGGAGGACACCUGGUCACCUCAGUGUACAAGUACACAGUCAUGUCUGCACUUGGAAAGCACCAAAACACUGUGACUUGCCUGGGUUUGAUGGCAUUGUGAAAGGACUUUUAUAUUAAGAAAGCUGUGGCAAAAAAAAAAUUGCAGAUUUUCUGAUUCUUCAGGCCUGUUUUUCUUCAGUGUGUUCAGAAUUAGCUCUUGAAGUAGGAGUGACAGUCCGUGAGGUAGGAUAUAAACAUCAUAUGGCUGCCUGCUUCUCUGGAAAGAUUCAGAUACAGGAUCAGAGGCAGGGUAGAAGAACAACAUGAAAAUAUACUGAUACUAAAUCCAGCCAUCCAUAAAAGUCACUCCUCUCAUCUUCUGCUGGAUUUGCUCCACAAGUGGUUGUGGAUUCCAAGGCCUCAACUUGGGUUUCUCCUACCACAGAGAGCCUGGGUAUGUCAGAAUGGGAAGAAAGAAACAAUUCAGGCCCUGUGGGUACUGCAGAGUGGAGCUGCAGGUAACAAACUAAUUCUCUCAAUAUUCACUGGGACAACCCAGAUGGGAUGUACUGGUUGAGAAUCCAUGGUGCUUUGGGAUGCCUAAAUGGCAGUUAAGCCCCAUAGCCAGGAGCAGGUCAGUCACCCUGUUGUGUGUCUGGAGCUAAAACAGAGAAAGUGCUUUCUGGUGUCAAUUUUUGGAUCUAAUACUUUUUAUUUUCUUCUUAUUGUUAUUUGCUGACAGCAGCAGAGCUGCACAUGAGCAGGCUUUAUUAUCUGCCAGAAGAUCUCUGCCAUGGUUCAGCCUGAGUGAGAAGUGAGAGCCCUGUGUAUAAACAUAAAGAAUUUACAGACAGUUAGAAAAUCUUCAUUAUUUAUUAUAUCCACAGUGAAUUGUAACCAAAUGCCUGUAAGCAUCUUUGUUUCAAAGUGAGUGAGUUCACCUAGAAUCUCCUUUUAAGUAGAUUUCUGCUUCCAGGCAAUCUGGGGAUUUAUUCUGCAAACUUAUUGUGGGGCUGACAUGAACAAUCUGCUCUACAGAGAGCUGGGAGGAAGGAAUGUUACCAGUAUUAAUAUCCUUUCUUCUCAUAGGUUCCCCAUUUUGUUAUUUUAUGCCUUUUUUUUAUUACCAAAACACCAGCUUUAAAAUCCCAAUCUAUUUUAUAAUCUAGUAGAUACAUCUGUAAAUGUUUUUAUGUGUCAGAAAAAGAAAUGGUUGUGGGUUUUUGCAUGGCAGAGCAGUGGUUCAGUGUCAGGGUGGCUCAAGGGGCAGGGAUUUAAUUCAGUGGCAUGUGCAAGGCAAAAGUGAAGUGUCAGGAGGCCACGCUGAGCUCAUUGCCUAAUUACUCACUCAUUAUCUGUGUGGAAGUCCCAAAGCUUCUAAACAAGAGCUUGGGCAGGUCUGGCUGAUAUCCUUUUCUCUUGGACCCUGUGAUUUAUUCCAAGUCAAGAAGGUGCAGUGACUGACAGGCCAGAGCUCCUGGAGUCCAGGAGUUGCUGGUGUCUCACUGGCUUGUUUCCAUUUCUGACAGUGGUAGGAUUCUUCCUCAGCAGGUUCCAAAUCUCAGCUGAGAAUCCCAGAGCUCCCCCCUGCUGCCAGGUCACUGAGCCAGAGCUCUGUUAAAGGAUUGCAUUUCCAGGUGCAGAAUGAAUGAAGUCUCAGGAAUUUCCCUGAUAUUACUGACUCCAUGAUAACCUCUUUAUUUUUUUCUAUGCCACCUUGCCUGGAUGCCUCCUCCCUUCUUCAGAUGGUUUGAGCAAAGAACACAUCAAAAGGUGUAGGCACGUCUCUCAUCAACUAAAUAUCAGCACUCAGGUUAUCUGAAAUCUUUUUCACUGGAAAGAAAGUGCCUUCAGGGGUUCUCAUUGUGUACCCCAAAAGUACACAGCAAAACAGCUCUUGAGUAGAGGCAGCAGCAGCACCCCCAUCCUGCUCACUGAGACACUGUGUUCACAAUAACCCCCCUGCUUUCAUCUCUUGCCAAGAAUAACACAGACAGUCUAUUAAAACAUCUUUAAUGACAUGAUAUAAUUAAAAAUAUCUAACAUGCAACUCAAAGAAAUGAAUAUGAAGCUUGUUUAAGUCUGUUUCCACACCCCUCUAAACUUGACUGGCAGGUUCCAAACCUUCAUUAAUUUGCCUGAAAAAUACAUGAAUGCCCCAAUAUUAUGGGGUGUGUGUGUCCUAUAUUAUCAGUUGGGAGCACAAGGGACGAAUAAUCAGAUUUGAAAGGAUUUAGGUGCCAUGGUAGCUUUAAAAAUCCUGCAAGGCACAUCACUGUAUCUGUGAGCAUUUACAUUUCUGUUUAAAGUGGUCUGAAAAGCCUUGGAGACACUUGUCCCUGAGGCUCUUAACAGUCUGUGUGUUUUAAGUCUCUGAAGCAGUUGAGGAGUGAGCUCUAAAGCUUUAGUCAAAGGCCAGUAUUUGUGAAUUGAUCCCUUUUCUCCACAGUAACACAGAAUUUGUACAGCACCUCAUCCUUCAGACAUACAGAGCAGAGCAGAGGAGCCAGGAUGACUGCCAGGUCCUAGGGGAAUCCUGAUUAUUAAAUCAUAAAGUAACUCUGGUCAUGGUCUAGUAUGAAAGUGACAAUUAGGAAAGCUUCUGUUCCUGAGUCUACUCUGGUCUAAAGGACAGUGUCAGCUGAGACACUUCCAGAGUCAGCAAGAGAAGCAGGUCAGUGCCAAUGAACAAACAGGUGAACCUCAGCCCAGCAUGAGCUCAGCUUUAGCACACAUGAAAUUAAAUGUGUUAAUUUGAGUCCUUGCUAAAGAGUUUAAAUUGGCAAUUUUAACGCUGUGUAGCUGUGACUCAGCUGGGAGACAAAAACUCAGCUGUGUGUCUGUGCCCUUUGUUUCUCCUUUGAUCCUAUGUGCAUUUUGUAGAGGCCAAGACUAAGAAGGAUUUGUUUUGGAGGAUUCCUGGUCAGUAGGAGCAUUCAUUAGAAGGGGCAUGUGGCCACCACCACUGAGAUGGAAGCACAGACAUAUCAGUCUUCACUAAUGUAUCAUCUCUCUUGAGAGGACACAGAAGAGGACAGAGCACUUUUUUCAGACAUCACCUCUUCUGAUUUGACUGAUUAUACAAUAUUAACUUCACAAUAGCUUAGGGCCUGCCUGCUCAGAGGCAUCAUUUCAUGUUUGACAUGAGUAAUCCCAGCUGUAGCCCAAGGAAGAGCCAUGCAGGCUGUUCUUGUUUGGAGAAUGAAUAGCUUGCCAUCCACCAGGAAUCACAAACCUCCUGUGGAGCAGGAUCCAUUGUCUCAAAGUACAGCAGUGCAAGUACCAGCAAGUUGCUGGGAGCCCUGCAGGAAAAUCACUUUCAUCCUCCAGUGACUUACACCUCUGUGAUUUCUGUCUGGACCCUGUUAACUGUGCUCUGAUGAGAGUCUUGAGUCACAGAAAACUGUCAG